rnacentral:rRNA from 1 species
AGUGAACGCUGGCGGUAGGCCUAACACAUGCAAGUCGAACGGCAGCACAGUAAGAGCUUGCUCUUACGGGUGGCGAGUGGCGGACGGGUGAGGAGUACAUCGGAAUCUACUUUUUCGUGGGGGAUAACGUAGGGAAACUUACGCUAAUACCGCAUACGACCUACGGGUGAAAGCAGGGGAUCUUCGGACCUUGCGCGAUUGAAUGACCCGAUGUCGGAUUAGCUAGUUGGCGGGGUAAAGGCCCACCAAGGCGACGAUCCGUAGCUGGUCUGAGAGGAUGAUCAGCCACACUGGAACUGAGACACGGUCCAGACUCCUACGGGAGGCAGCAGUGGGGAAUAUUGGACAAUGGGCGCAAGCCUGAUCCAGCCAUACCGCGUGGGUGAAGAAGGCCUUCGGGUUGUAAAGCCCUUUUGUUGGGAAAGAAAAGCAGCAGGUUAAUACCCCGCUGUUCUGACGGUACCCAAAGAAUAAGCACCGGCUAACUUCGUG